GAUGAACGCUGGCGGCGUGCCUAAUACAUGCAAGUCGAGCGAACAGACGAGGAGCUUGCUCCUCUGACGUUAGCGGCGGACGGGUGAGUAACACUUGGAUAACCUACCUAUAAGACUGGGAUAACUUCGGGAAACCGGAGCUAAUACCGGAUAAUAUAUUGAACCGCAUGGUUCAAUAGUGAAAGACGGUUUUGCUGUCACUUAUAGAUGGAUCCGCGCCGCAUUAGCUAGUUGGUAAAGUAACGGCUUACCAAGGCAACGAUGCGUAGCCGACCUGAGAGGGUGAUCGGCCACACUGGAACUGAGACACGGUCCAGACUCCUACGGGAGGCAGCAGUAGGGAAUCUUCCGCAAUGGGCGAAAGCCUGACGGAGCAACGCCGCGUGAGUGAUGAAGGUCUUCGGAUCGUAAAACUCUGUUAUUAGGGAAGAACAAAUGUGUAAGUAACUAUGCACGUCUUGACGGUACCUAAUCAGAAAGCCACGGCUAACUACGUG
rnacentral:rRNA from 1 species